rnacentral:rRNA from 1 species
AUUGAACGCUGGCGGAAUGCUUUACACAUGCAAGUCGAACGGCAGCACGGGGCAACCUGGUGGCGAGUGGCGAACGGGUGAGUAAUACAUCGGAACGUGCCCAAUCGUGGGGGAUAACGUAGCGAAAGUUACGCUAAUACCGCAUACGAUCUACGGAUGAAAGCGGGGGAUCGCAAGACCUCGCGCGAGUGGAGCGGCCGAUGUCAGAUUAGGUAGUUGGUGGGGUAAAGGCUCACCAAGCCAACGAUCUGUAGCUGGUCUGAGAGGACGACCAGCCACACUGGAACUGAGACACGGUCCAGACUCCUACGGGAGGCAGCAGUGGGGAAUUUGGACAAUGGGCGCAAGCCUGAUCCAGCCAUUCCGCGUGCAGGAUGAAGGCCUUCGGUUGUAACUGCUUUGUACGGUAACGAAACGGACGAGCUCUAAUACAGUUUGCUAAUGACGGUACCGUAAGAAUAAGCACCGGCUAACUACGUGCCAGCAGCCGAC